rnacentral:rRNA from 1 species
GACGAACGCUGGCGGCGUGCUUAACACAUGCAAGUCGUACGGUAAGGCCCUUUCGGGGGUCCACGAGUGGCGAACGGGUGAGUAACACGUGAGUAACCUGCCCACAACUUUGGGAUAACGCUAGGAAACUGGUGCUAAUACUGGAUAUGUGCUCCUGCUGCAUGGUGGGGGUUGGAAAGCUCCGGCGGUUGUGGAUGGACUCGCGGCCUAUCAGCUUGUUGGUGGGGUAGUGGCCUACCAAGGCGGCGACGGGUAGCCGGCCUGAGAGGGUGACCGGCCACAUUGGGACUGAGAUACGGCCCAGACUCCUACGGGAGGCAGCAGUGGGGAAUAUUGCACGAUGGGCGCAAGCCUGAUGCAGCAACGCCGCGUGCGGGAUGACGGCCUUCGGGUUGUAAACCGCUUUCAGCAGGGACGAAGCUUUUUGUGACGGUACCUGCAGAAGAAGCACCGGCUAACUACGUG